rnacentral:rRNA from 1 species
GGGUCAGUAGGUUGGUCGUGCCACCGGUACGUUCUGGUCUAACUGAUUCCUCCUUCCUGAAGAACCGUAAUGCCAUUAAUUUGGUGUUGCGGGGAAACAGGACUGUUACUUUGAAAAAAUUAGAGUGUUUAAAGCAAGCUAACGCUUGAAUACAUUAGCAUGGAAUAAUGAAAUAGGACGAUCGAUCCUAUUUUGUUGUUUUCUAGGAUUGACGUA